CCAGAUACCAAGCAACUUAGAAUCCAUCUAAAUUAUCCAAACCAGUCAACCCCAAAGUGUUUGUUUUGCCUUGCCUUGCUUUUCCUGAGGACACACCAAACAAGUCUUGACCUAGUCUCUCCCUGUGGUUCCGCCCUUUCUGCCUUUAUUGGAUGCUGAUGCUUUUCCCGGUGGCCUUGCAUGCUGUGACAUGCCUUCUAUUUCUAGGACCCGUCAUCUCACGCUCCUUCCUCGCUGGAGUUUUGCCUGACAUCCCCAGAUAGCUAAAUCCUUUAUCAACCAGGACACAUACCCCUGGGCUGCUGUCUUCUGGAAAUAGCUUAGAAUUUGAAAAUACAAGUUUGUCACUACCCAAAUGUUUUGCUGUUUAAAACAGAACUUAAAAGAUUUUGAAACAAACUGUUCUAUCCAAUGGGCAUUAAAGAAAAGGCAAGUCCAUAACUGUAUAAUAGAAAUAUAACACCCUCAGCUAAAGACUAUAUGAUUAUGCCAGUGUUUUACAUACUUUUCUGAAAGUCUCUGGGACAAAUUAUUACAAUUUUCUUGUUUUAUACGGUACAUUGAAAUGUUUCCAACAGUGCUGUGUUUUGGAAAGCAUAAGGUAAAAAGCAGUCUCAAAUUAUUAAAAAUUAAAAAAAAA